CUACGGGAUGCUCCAGUGAGGAAUAUUGCACAAUGGGGGGAACCCUGAUGCAGCAACGCCGCGUGGAGGAUGACGCAUUUCGGUGUGUAAACUCCUUUUAUAUGUCAAGAAAAUGACGGUAGCAUAUGAAUAAGCACCGGCUAACUCCGUGCCAGCAGCCGCGGUAAUACGGAGGGUGCAAGCGUUACUCGGAAUCACUGGGCGUAAAGGACGCGUAGGCGGGUUGGAAAGUCAGGUGUGAAAUCCUACAGCUUAACUGUAGAACUGCACUUGAAACUUCUAAGCUAGAGUAUGGGAGGGGGAGAUGGAAUUUGUGGUGUAGGGGUAAAAUCCGUAGAUAUCACUAGGAAUACCUAAAGCGAAGGCGAUCUCCUGGAACAGUACUGACGCUAAGGCGUGAAAGCGUGGGGAGCAAACAGGAUUAGAUACCCGGGUAGUC
rnacentral:rRNA from 1 species